rnacentral:rRNA from 1 species
AGUGAACGCUGGCGGUAGGCCUAACACAUGCAAGUCGAACGGCAGCACAGUAAGAGCUUGCUCUUACGGGUGGCGAGUGGCGGACGGGUGAGGAAUACAUCGGAAUCUACUUUUUCGUGGGGGAUAACGUAGGGAAACUUACGAUAAUACCGCAUACGACCUACGGGUGAAAGCAGGGGAUCUUCGGACCUUGCGCGAUUGAAUGAGCCGAUGUCGGAUUAGCUAGUUGGCGGGGUAAAGGCCCACCAAGGCGACGAUCCGUAGCUGGUCUGAGAGGAUGAUCAGCCACACUGGAACUGAGACACGGUCCAGACUCCUACGGGAGGCAGCAGUGGGGAAUAUUGGACAAUGGGCGCAAGCCUGAUCCAGCCAUACCGCGUGUGUGAAGAAGGCCUUCGGGUUGUAAUGCCCUUUUGUUGGGAAAGAAAAGCAGCAGGUUAAUACCCCGCUGUUCUGACGGUACCCAAAGAAUAAGCACCGGCUAACUUCGUG